AUACUUACCUGUUGCUGGGCUCUCCGGUGGUCACUAUGGCCGGCGCCCCAAGCGGAGGCCCGCCAUUGCACUGCGGCGGGCUGAAGCUGCUAGCCCACUUCUCCAAACUGGGGAUGUGGGCAUGCAAUUUGUGUAGUGGGGUCUCAGGCGUGCGCGUGGCCCCU
rnacentral:snRNA from 1 species